AUUACUUUAUGGUAAAAAGGACCUUUGAUGUAAUAGUUAUCUAACAUUUGUGGCUAUCCUGAUCAAUGGUUGCUUUCAAUGUCAUCUGAUCUUGGAAAUGCCACAUACAUUA